GUGUGAUGCUGGCUGUGAACCCAAACAGAGGAUGUGAGAAAACCCACAGAAGUGAAGAGGAGGAAUCGCGUGCACACAUCUCCAGAGCCAGGACUCUCAUAGGAGUGCGGCAAUUUGGACUUUCCACCGUCAGCAACUCUCCUCGUUCCAUCCUUGCUCCUUCCUCUUCAGACCAGGACCCUCCCCCUCCACACGCACACAUACACAUACACACACGCACAGAGGCUCGUGUUGUGUAGUGAGGAGGUUGAAUUAGGAUCUCAGGGUGCAUUGGAGGUGAAUCCUGGACCUGGAGAUGGAUUAAAGGGACCCCACGUCGCCAAACUGGAGCAACACGCACGACCACGCCGGGGGGGAAGGGGGCGACGAGACUCGAUGAUUUUGCGGAGCCCCCGGGAGAGAGGUUGUGACUGGUCCAACCCCAAGACGACGUCUCCUAAAACCAAAGCCAAGAAGAAGCAAACUAAAGAGAGCAUGACUCUG